rnacentral:lncRNA from 1 species
AUGCCUCUUUUGACGUCAUUCCACAACAUUAUAAUUCAAACUUCUAUUUCCUUCCUUUUUCAUUUCUGGUGGUGUUUUGUUUGUGUUUUUGAAAAACACAGGACACGCGAAAACGCGGGAGGGGAGGGCGGCGCCGGGCGGGGGCCGGGCGCGCGGCCGGCGCCGCCGGGGAAGCGGGAGCCCGGCUCCUCUCGCCGGGCCGCCCCCAUUGUUCAGCCCUCUUCGCCGCACUUCGCUGUUCUCCGAGCGCGUCCCUCGCAAGGUGGGGGGGGGGGGGGCGUCCCGCGGCCCAAUUCGACCCCCACCCCCUCCUCCCCGAACUGCAUCGCUUGGGCCGGGCCGGGCCGGGUCGGGCCGGGUCGGGCCGGCGCCGCCGCAAGUUUUAUUAUCAGACUCGGCCAGCGAGGGGUUUCCAACUCGAGACCCUGCAGAAAAAGGAGGCUUUGCAACGUGCCGCUAAAUUGGAGGAAGCUGGGCAAGCCUGCAACUGACACAUUAAAAGAAGAGGGAAAGCCGCACAGAUAUGUUUAUAAAGUGAUAACUAGGUAGCGACGAAUGUGGGCAUUUUUUUUUUUUUUUCUGGAUCCGGAAAGUUAGAGCAGAUUCUAUCAUUUUAAAUACCUUUCAUGUAUGGAUACGAAAGUGAAUGUCGGGGUUCAAAGGAGUUCAGAAAAAGCAGGUUUCGCUGUAUUUGUUAUUAUUCAGCUCUUUGUUAUAUACAAAGUAAAAUUUAAAAGCAGGGGCUGAGCCACCCUUAACAAAAACAGGCUUGAUUUCUUAACCUGAAAAGCAUUUUCAAAAUCACAGUGAAAUUCAAAAGGGAAAAACGUGUCAUUUGCUCUUAAAGCACGUUUUGGAAACAAUUGCAACCCACCUAAGAAACUCUGCCUGUUUUCCUUUGUGAGACGUGUGGAAAAAAUAUUUCUGGCAAACGUCAUAGUUCUAAAAAAUGAAGAUUUCCAACAAGUGCUUGCGAGUCUUGAAGACAAGACCAAAGUCAUCGUGCGUGAAAACUCAGGAAGAAAUAAUUUCAAUCCUUUGGCCCAAACCUUUCUAGGGCAAGGGGGUAAUUUUAACUUAGAUUUAUAAUAGGCUUUGCGGAAAUUCCUCCUAACAUACCCAUUACUAGUCUGUGUAUGAUGCAGCACUGUUUCCCAAGGUGGAUUAAAAAAAAACAAUUAGAAUUGAUCUCUAAUGGAAUAUUAUAUUUACGCGUCAUCAUGAAAACAUCAUUUGACAAGAGUUUUGAAUUACAAGAAAGAAGUUAACAGAUGACGUUCCUAAAUAGCAUCUGUUUGAAAAAAACCCUUAAGAGUCAGUUAAAGGUAGUGGUGAUUGUGAUUUUGCAUCUGAAAUAGCUAUAGAAGUGGGUUGUUGUUUUUUUUUUUUUUUUUUUUUCCUUUUGAACACUUUCAUUUUGCAGAUCUGCUUCCUUAAACUUGCAAUUCCUCAUGGAAAUCAUUCAGUUAUUUCGAGGUAGCCGGAGAAAUUCUUCUAUAAGAAAUCAUUUGAAGUGUAACUAUGGAAAGGUUUGAACAGAGAAAACAUUGGUGUUGAAAAUGAGGUAUUCUCAAUCUGUUCAUUCCUUCCACACUCAUCCUCCCAUGGUCCCCCUCCCCAACUACUUGGAUUCAAUUUACAUUUUUUUACUUAUAAGUCUUUGACUAUUUAGAAUAGCUUUAGAAGUUUAUCCGCUAUGCAGUUGAUCGUAGAAGGUGAAUCUUUUUACAUCUCUUAGUGUUUCAGACAUCUUUUUGGUUUCAUUUAAAAUUAAAAAAAAAUGUGUUACAAGUCAUGAUACACUUGUGAGAAAAACAACAAAUGGGUGGAAAAAAGGGCUUGGAUGGGGGUGGGUAUGCAGAGGGAUAUGUAGCAUUCCUGGUCAGGCUUCGUAAUACUUUUUUUCUUUAAUAUCAUGUCAUUAUGUUUUCCACUUGGGCUUGUAUCAAAGAUCAUUGCUUUUUUAAUUGGAGAAAAGGGCCACCAUAUAAAAAUUGCUUACAUUCUGGCUCUUAAGCGCCACAGUAAAGUAAGACUGACAAAAAGUGAUCGGAGGCUUGUGUGUUUAAUUCGCCAAGAAUGUUAAGCUUCAUAAGAUUCACCCUAUGGGGCCAUGUUGGACCUUGGCACUGUUACUGUACAAUUUCAAGAGAUAAAUAUACACAUGAUAGAUUAAAAAAAAUCUAAGAUGUGAUACGCAGUUUAUUAAUUGAAGGAAUAAAAAAAUGAAUUUGUCAACCUCAUUCUUUCUGGGACACAAUGCAGUUAAUUAACAUAUUCUUGGGCUUGUUUCUGGAUUUGCUAAGCAGUGGCUCCUUUCAGAGAGGAAAACAUUUAAAUCCUAAAAAGUUAUCUUCUUUGGUCCAAAUAGCAGUUAGCAACUCAGUUUAAUUUCUUCUUCUUUUUUUAGGUUCUAGAUUUGUUUCAUUUCUUUCAAGGUUUGUUUCAUUUCUUCCAUUGUAAAAACUGAUUUUCCUCUUUUCUGUGUCCAGAAUCUUUUCACCUACCUAACCUUAUUGUCUCCUAUAAACAGACACCUAAAAAGUUCACUUUAAUCACACUUUAAUUAUAACAGAAAUGCAUAUCUUCAGUGUUAGUAAAAAAAAAAAUGGGAACAUGGACCUCACACUUCUUACAUUACAUUGAUGAUUCUCUGAAAAGUCAGACACUUAACACCCUUAAGUAUUGUUGGAUCAUGGAAAAAAACCAGUCCAACUCUGAAAUGUUAUUGAGGUUUAUGCAAUGCCUAGGAAAUCUAAAGGCAUCUUUUAGAUACUAAUUUUCUACUAGUAAUUACAUGGUGUUUUAGCCCAAAAUGUAAAUACAACCAAUAUAUAUCAAUUUUAUAGCAGAAGGAGUAGCUCUCAAGCCAAACACAAGCUUAACCAAGCCAAACCUUUUAAAGUAAAUAUUAGGCCUUGAUUCUUAAAAAUAUUUAAAAAUUUAGAUUACAUACAAUUUAAAUUUCAGAAUUACCUACCUAAACUUUCUAACAGUUACGUGUAUCUCACAAUAAUAUUAAUUGUGAUUGAUUCUUAGUUUGUUUUGUAAGAAAAUGAUGACUUUUACAUGAAAAGGUGGUUAACAUUCAAAGGCUACUUAAAUAUACACAAUUCUAAACUACCCGGUAAAUAAAAACUCUUCACCAAUAUUAAUUUCAACUUUUGAAAAUCUUUAAGGAGUCUAAUUUAUCUGAAAAUUUCUAAUGUAUCUGAAAAUUAAACAUUACUUAGAAAUUUCAGUUCAGUUGUACAUACACAAAAUAAAGUCUUGCUUUACUCUGAAGAAUGAAGCUCAGAGUGCAAAGAGCUUUUAAACUUAAGAAUCAUACGUUAAAUGAAUAUUUAUUGUGGGCCUACUAAGUGCAAGAGUCUUGCUAGGUGGCAUGGUGAAUUAAAAAAAAAAUCACCUGGUAAGAUCAACAUGGUUCAUUAAAUGGAAUUUCCCCAAAGCAAUUAACAGAAUAUCAAUUGAAAACAUAAUUGAAAUGAAUAACUUUUAAUGACAUUUCUAAUAGUCUUCAAAAUAUAGGUGCCAUGUGUGUAUAUCUAGUAUAAAGACACAAUACUCACUUAUUGUGAGAUUAAUAAAACUAGUUUCAGAAGCACCUCAACAUUUUUAUCAUACUAGCAUAAACAUAUGGCUCAUAAUAAACUUUUCAUGUAAAAGGUAGGAAACCAACUGAGCAAAGGAAAAUUUUAUCCAGGGAUUCCUUUAUAUACAAGAGGAUAUAGCUGAUAGUUUUUACAGAUAUAAGAAAUUGCCUUUUGCAUUCUCCAAAUAAUUUAUUUAGAAACAAGACUAUAGUAUCUGGUGAGGUUUAGUAGAUGAAUGAAAUCUAAUAAUUGCUUUUUGUUUUAAAGCCGUAGUAUCAACUGCUUUUUGUUUUAAAAGCUUAGUAUCAGAGCCAAUACAGAAUUUCAAACACUUAGCGGAAGUCCAGAAUCUGAGUCAAAUAAAAUGCAUUUAGUCUUAGCAUUAUAGAAAUAUUCCUCAAUUUCUAUACCUCAUUAUAGAAAUGUACCUCAACAAUGAGUAGACUAGACCAAACAUAAUGUGCACAAACAGAAGGGGAAAAAACCUUUAAUUUAAAAAGGAGGUAAAUAUAAGCAGUAUCAACCUAUGAACCAAAUUUGAUUUUAAGUAUUUCUUUCAUAGUAUCUACUUACGUAAAUGAUAAUUGAAAAGGAAAAUUUGUUGCCUAGGUUGAGGAAUAAAGAAAAUUAUAAGAAGAUAUAUUACCUAUAAAGAAAAAAAAUACAGUUUCCCAUUAUAGUAGGGUUAGAGGUUACAUCAUAAAAUACUUUACUUGAGUUUUUUGUGGUUUGCCUCAGAUGAUUAGUUCAGAGAAAUAGAUGAGCCAGUACUGAGUUAGCUGCUGUUAUGUGAAGAAUACUGGAGACAACAGGCUUUUGUUUUGUUCUACAGGUACUAGAUAUACUUUUUCAAAGGAUAUUUCAAGAAUGAGGAAUCAGAUUUAAAGGGUAACAUUAUUUUUUAAGAUUGAAAUAGUCCUUUUGUAUGAAGUUAUUCUAUAAAUCCCAUGGACUUUUCCCCCCCAUUACCAUGUAUUUUUAAAAACUUACUUGAACUUUAACAAGGAUGGCAAUUUAUACAUUUUAUCCAUCCUAAGAUAUGAGAAUUAGCAUAUUGAGUCAAUUGUCAUAUACACGCAUAUGUAGUAGAUAGAUAGAUGGAUAUGUGUGAAUGGGUAUAUACCUCUCACAAAGGACAAAUAUAACUUGGUCAUUGCUAUAUUUCCUGUAUCAAAACAGUCCCUGGCUCACAGUAAAUGUUCAAUAAAUAUUUAUGGCAUGAAUAAAUAAUUAACUGUAUAUCUGAACCAUUUUAUAAUGUGUUAGUUUCCUUUUCAUUUAAUAUUUUAUGGAAAUAGAUGAAAUAUUACACUUUUGAUAUAUAUAAGAAAUGUUCUAUAUCUGGUAUGAGUUGAAAUUAGAGUGGCCUAUUUACACCCAUUAUGUUUUUUUCUUAUAAUUUUCAUAAUUCAACAUUUGUUAAAUAUGUUAAAUAUUACUUUUAAAUAACUU